GUAAAUGAUGAUAAUGUAAAUAGGAAGUGCCGUCAGAUGCGAGAACAGAUGAAACUUUACAUUCUGAUU